rnacentral:rRNA from 1 species
CCUACGGGUGGCAGCAGUGGGGAAUAUUGCGCAAUGGGCGAAAGCCUGACGCAGCGACGCCGCGUGAGGGAUGAAGGUCUUCGGAUUGUAAACCUCUGUCUUUGGGGAAGAAAAUGACGGUACCCAAAGAGGAAGCUCCGGCUAACUACGUGCCAGCAGCCGCGGUAAGACGUCGGGAGCGAGCGUUGUCCGGAAUUACUGGGUGUAAAGGGAGCGUCGGCGGGCGAGAAAGUUGACUGUUAAAUCUACCGGCUUAACUGGUAGCUGCCUUCCAAACUUCUUGUCUUGAGUGAAGUAGCGGCAGGCGGAAUUCCUAGUGUAGCGGUGAAAUGCUUAGAUAUUAGGCGGAACCCCAGUGGCGAAGGCGGCCUGCUGGGCUUUACCUGACGCUGAGGCUCGAAAGCGUGGGGAGCAAACAGGAUUAGAUACCCCUGUAGUC